rnacentral:rRNA from 1 species
AUGCUGAAACUUGAUUUCGAAAAGGCAUAUGACAAUGUCAACUGGGACUUCUUCUUAGAUUGCCACAAAAUGAGAGAGUUUUAUCCGCAAUGGAUUGAGUGGGUCAGGAAAAUCCUAGUGGGUGGUAUAGUUAGUGUGAAAUUGAAUAAUGAGAUGGGUCCCUACAUUCAAAGCUCGAAAGGGGUGCGCCAAGGGGACCCCUUCUCGCCCUUUCUCUUCAAUUUAGCUGCCGAUUGUUUAACAAAAAUGGUACUUAAAGCUCAACAAAACGGCUUAUUCAAUUGUCUGGCCUCCAACCUGAUACCAAAUGGAGUAGCCAUUCUUCAGUACGCGGCAGACACAAUUUUGUGUUUUGAGGAUGAUCUUAGAAAUGCUCUGAAUAUUAAGUUGCUCCUAUAUAUUUUUGAGAUCAUGUCAGGAUUGAAAAUAAAUUUCUUGAAGAGCGAGAUUUUCUCGGCCCGUGCGGAUGAUGAGACUAUGCGUAAAUAUGCUGAGAUGUUUAACUGCCAAAUAGGUAAUUUCCCUAUAAAAUAA